CCAGUUGUAGUCUGUGUGGCAGUGGAGGCAGAGGUUGAAGCUAUGGCCAAGUCCAAGAACCACACCACUCACAACUAGUCUCGCAAGUGGCACAGAAAUGGCAUUAAGAAGCCCAGGUCACAUAGAUAUGGAUCUCUGAAGGGGACUAAUCCCAAAUUCCUGAGGAACAUGUGCUUUGCAAAGAAGUGUUAGCAAGAAAGAGCUGGAAAAAAUAUGUGGGCAAACAAUACCAAAUAACUGGCUUGCCUUUGGAUAGGAAAAGGGACUAACUUGCUUGGAAUCUGAUCAGCAGUUUUUCCUAAGCAAUGUUUGUUUUUCACUCAAGGCAUUUUGUAUAACUAAAAUCAAGUGUAAUGUACAGGUGCAA